rnacentral:rRNA from 1 species
ACUCUAAGCGGUGGAUCACUCGCUCAUGGGUCGAUGAAGAACGCAGCAAACUGUGCGUCAUCGUGUGAACUGCAGGAACACAUGAACAUCGACAUUUUGAACGCAUAUCGCAGUCCAUGCUGUUAUGUACUUUAAUUAAUUUUAUAGUGUGCUUGGACUACAUAUGGUUGAGGUUGUAAGACUAUGCUAAUUAAGUUGCUUAUAAAUUUUUAUAAGCAUAUGGUAUAUUAUUGGAUAAAUAUAAUAAUUUUUAUUCAUAAUAUUAAAAAAUAAAUGAAAAACAUUAUCUCACAUUUGAAUGUGAAAAACGAAGAGAAAUAUUUUCUUUUUCAAUCAAAUAAUACUGAGAAAUGUCUAGCAUAAAAAAUUGAAAUAUUUUUCAUCUAGAAUUGUCUCUUAUUAAUGAUUCGGAAAUAGAAAAAUCUUGGUUAUGUUAUUAUUCUUCGUUGGUUCGUUAAAAAUGGAUAAAUAAAAACUUUGCAUAAAGAAUUAAUAAAAAUGUUAUAACGAAUUUAAUUAAAUGUUUUAUCAUUAUAUAUAAAGAAUUUAUGGCAAGAUAAAGUUAUAUACAACCUCAACUCAUAUGGGACUACCCCCUGAAUUUAAGCAUAUUAAUUAGGGGAGGAAAAGAAACUAACAAGGAUUUUCUUAGUAGCGGCGAGCGAAAAAGAAAACAGUUCAGCACUAAGUCACUUUGUCUAUAUGGCAAAUGUGAGAUGCAGUGUAUGGAGCGUCAAUAUUCUAGUAUGAGAAAUUAACGAUUUAAGUCCUUCUUAAAUGAGGCCAUUUACCCAUAGAGGGUGCCAGGCCGCGUAUAACGUUAAUGAUUACUAGAUGAUGUUUCCAAAGAGUCGUGUUGCUUGAUAGUGCAGCACUAAGUGGGUGGUAAACUCCAUCUAAAACUAAAUAUAACCAUGAGACCGAUAGUAAACAAGUACCGUGAGGGAAAGUUGAAAAGAACUCUGAAUAGAGAGUUAAACAGUACGUGAAACUGCUUAGAGGUUAAGCCCGAUGAACCUGAAUAUCCGUUAUGGAAAAUUCAUCAUUAAAAUUGUAAUAUUUAAAUAAUAUUAUGAGAAUAGUGUGCAUUUUUUCCAUAUAAGGACAUUGUAAUCUAUUAGCAUAUACCAAAUUUAUCAUAAAAUAUAACUUAUAGUUUAUUCCAAUUAAAUUGCUUGCAUUUUAACACAGAAUAAAUGUUAUUAAUUUGAUAAAGUGCUGAUAGAUUUAUAUGAUUACAGUGCGUUAAUUUUUCGGAAUUAUAUAAUGGCAUAAUUAUCAUUGAUUUUUGUGUUUAUUAUAUGCACUUGUAUGAUUAACAAUGCGAAAGAUUCAGGAUACCUUCGGGACCCGUCUUGAAACACGGACCAAGGAGUCUAACAUAUGUGCAAGUUAUUGGGAUAUAAACCUAAUAGCGUAAUUAACUUGACUAAUAAUGGGAUUAGUUUUUUAGCUAUUUAUAGCUAAUUAACACAAUCCGCGGGCGUUCUAUAUAGUUAUGUAUAAUGUAUAUUUAUAUUAUUUAUGCCUCUAACUGGAACGUACCUUGAGCAUAUAUGCUGUGACCCGAAAGAUGGUGAACUAUACUUGAUCAGGUUGAAGUCAGGGGAAACCCUGAUGGAAGACCGAAACAGUUCUGACGUGCAAAUCGAUUGUCAGAAUUGAGUAUAGGGGCGAAAGACCAAUCGAACCAUCUAGUAGCUGGUUCCUUCCGAAGUUUCCCUCAGGAUAGCUGGUGCAUUUUAAUAUUAUAUAAAAUAAUCUUAUCUGGUAAAGCGAAUGAUUAGAGGCCUUAGGGUCGAAACGAUCUUAACCUAUUCUCAAACUUUAAAUGGGUAAGAACCUUAACUUUCUUGAUAUGAAGUUCAAGGUUAUGAUAUAAUGUGCCCAGUGGGCCACUUUUGGUAAGCAGAACUGGCGCUGUGGGAUGAACCAAACGUAAUGUUACGGUGCCCAAAUUAACAACUCAUGCAGAUACCAUGAAAGGCGUUGGUUGCUUAAAACAGCAGGACGGUGAUCAUGGAAGUCGAAAUCCGCUAAGGAGUGUGUAACAACUCACCUGCCGAAGCAACUAGCCCUUAAAAUGGAUGGCGCUUAAGUUGUAUACCUAUACAUUACCGCUAAAGUAGAUGAUUUAUAUUACUUGUGAUAUAAAUUUUGAAACUUUAGUGAGUAGGAAGGUACAAUGGUAUGCGUAGAAGUGUUUGGCGUAAGCCUGCAUGGAGCUGCCAUUGGUACAGAUCUUGGUGGUAGUAGCAAAUAAUCGAAUGAGACCUUGGAGGACUGAAGUGGAGAAGGGUUUCGUGUGAACAGUGGUUGAUCACGAGUUAGUCGGUCCUAAGUUCAAGGCGAAAGCCGAAAAUUUUCAAGUAAAACAAAAAUGCCUAACUAUAUAAACAAAGCGAAUUAUAAUACACUUGAAUAAUUUUGAACGAAAGGGAAUACGGUUCCAAUUCCGUAACCUGUUGAGUAUCCGUUUGUUAUUAAAUAUGGGCCUCGUGCUCAUCCUGGCAACAGGAACGACCAUAAAGAAGCCGUCGAGAGAUAUCGGAAGAGUUUUCUUUUCUGUUUUAUAGCCGUACUACCAUGGAAGUCUUUCGCAGAGAGAUAUGGUAGAUGGGCUAGAAGAGCAUGACAUAUACUGUUGUGUCGAUAUUUUCUCCUCGGACCUUGAAAAUUUAUGGUGGGGACACGCAAACUUCUCAACAGGCCGUACCAAUAUCCGCAGCUGGUCUCCAAGGUGAAGAGUCUCUAGUCGAUAGAAUAAUGUAGGUAAGGGAAGUCGGCAAAUUAGAUCCGUAACUUCGGGAUAAGGAUUGGCUCUGAAGAUUGAGAUAGUCGGGCUUGAUUGGGAAACAAUAACAUGGUUUAUGUGCUCGUUCUGGGUAAAUAGAGUUUCUAGCAUUUAUGUUAGUUACUUGUUCCCGGAUAGUUUAGUUACGUAGCCAAUUGUGGAACUUUUUGCUAAAAUUUUUAAGAAUACUAUUUGGGUUAAACCAAUUAGUUCUUAUUAAUUAUAACGAUUAUCAAUUAACAAUCAAUUCAGAACUGGCACGGACUUGGGGAAUCCGACUGUCUAAUUAAAACAAAGCAUUGUGAUGGCCCUAGCGGGUGUUGACACAAUGUGAUUUCUGCCCAGUGCUCUGAAUGUCAAAGUGAAGAAAUUCAAGUAAGCGCGGGUCAACGGCGGGAGUAACUAUGACUCUCUUAAGGUAGCCAAAUGCCUCGUCAUCUAAUUAGUGACGCGCAUGAAUGGAUUAACGAGAUUCCUACUGUCCCUCUACCCAUAUCGCGGGUAAGAGCCUUCAUGCUCGACGUUUGAGUUACGGUGCUAGUUGCGCAAAACUCGGGUGCUGUGACCCAGAGAUCAGU